ACUAAAUAGAUACCCCGGUAGUCCACGCCCUAAACGAUGUCUACUAGUUGUCGGGUCUUAAUUGACUUGGUAAACGCAGCUAAACGCGUGAAAGUAGACCGCCUGGGGAGUACGGUCGCAAGAUUAAAACUCAAAGGAAUUGACGGGGACCCGCACAAGCGGUGGAUGAUGUGGAUUAAUUCGAUGCAACGCGAAAAACCUUACCUACCCUUGACAUGGAUGGAAUCCCUGAGAGAUUGGGGAGUGCUCGAAAGAGAACCAUUACACAGGUGCUGCAUGGCUGUCGUCAGCUCGUGUCGUGAGAUGUUGGGUUAAGUCCCGCAACGAGCGCAACCCUUGUCAUUAGUUGCUACGAAAGGGCACUCUAAUGAGACUGCCGGUGACAAACCGGAGGAAGGUGGGGAUGACGUCAAGUCCUCAUGGCCCUUAUGGGUAGGGCUUCACACGUCAUACAAUGGUACAUACAGAGGGCCGCCAACCCGCGAGGGGGUAGCUAAUCCCAGAAAGUGUAUCGUAGUCCGGAUUGUAGUCUGCAACUCGACUGC
rnacentral:rRNA from 1 species